ensembl:lncRNA
UUGUUAGUGAAGAGCUUGGACUUGCAGUUAUGAGAUGAGUGAACAGGUUCUCGGGCAUCUGAUGUAAAGCCUGCCAACAAAUAUUAAUAACCCCAAAGCUAUUGUUGGUAAUCAAGUCACAAUAUGUAAUGGGAACUCNCUUUUUUCCUUUUUUUGGCUGUACCCAUGGCAUAUGGAAGUUCUCAGGCCAGGGACUGAAUCCAAGCUGCAGCUGCAACCUACACCACAGCUGUGGCAACACUGGAUCCUUACCCCACUGCACCAUAGUGGGAACUCCAAUACAUUGCACAUCCUAAACUUGCACAGGACUAUGUUUUAAUUAUAUCUUAAUUAAGCUGGAAAAAAAGUUUUGAAAAGCACAGAUAAACAAACAUAUAGUACCCGAAGAGUAAAGUUGUAUACAUGUGGUAUUAAAAUUUUAUGGGGGGAGGCAGUGGUUAGGGAAAAAUGUCUGAAAAGGUUUAUUAAGGGAGUGAAAAUGGAUAUUUUUUUUAAAUGAGAAAUAUUAAGUUGGGUCCUCCUGGAAGAUCCAGCAAAUGUAAAAUGGGAGACAUUUAUGUAGAUGCAUCUGGUCUGCUAGAAACUAUCUCUAACCUAUUAUUCUCCAGAAAGACUACUGUGAAGAGUCUGAUGCUCUGAGCCACUAUGAGCCCAUUGCUGAGCAGUUAAAAUUAAAUCAUGUCCUCUCUGUAAAAGAGGAAAGAAAUGUUGAAAACUGUAAUUCUUUUCAAAGUUUACUAGUGAGAUGUUAAGUGUGAAUUAGAGAUGUUUGUGUUAAAUUCUAGAAUCUCAUCAUUUCUUACAGUUUCGGAAAGAAUCCUAUAUGUGUAAGUAUUUAAAAAUUGUUUUUGUAACAAUGAUGAGCCGUGGUGCCAAUGAAUUAGCAUAGGGAGAAAUAUUCCAUUUUGUAAAAUCAAAUUGUGACACAAUUCCCUCUCAUUUUAAAACUUAAUUUAAAAGCCCAUAAAUAUUUUGAAAAUAUGUUUCAAUUGAAAACAUAUUUGAUGGCUUUCUUUCAAAUGAAAAAACUGCAGUACUCAGUAAAGACACUUGGUUACAAAACCAUGUAACAAAAGCGAUUUUUCCUUUAAAAUUCUUACCAGCUGUUAUGUAACUUAGUUUUUUUUUUUUCCAUUUUAGAGUACCUUACUUUAUUAUUAUUAUUUUUAAUUUUUACUCAACGAAUUUUAUUACAUUUAUAGUUGUACAGUGAUCAUCACAACCAAAUUUUAUAGCAUUUCCAAAACUUGGUUUUGUUUUUAUGUUGCUCUUUUUUCUGUGGGAGGGUGGAGAGGAUAGCAUGAUAGUGAUAGAGAAAAGGUUUAUUGAGCACCUGCUCUAUACUACUCUCUAUAUAGUUCUAGAGUCUACUUGCCAUAGUAAAUUCAAAAUCUUGUUCUAUUUUACAAGUUAAAAAACAAACCAGGGAGUUCCUGUUGUGGAUCAGUGGGUUAAGAACACAGCAUUGUCUCCGUGAGGAUUCAGGUUCAAUCCCUGGCCUUUCUCAGUGGGUUUGUGACCUGGCAUUGCUGCAAACUGUGGUGUAGGUCACAGAUGUGGCUUCAAUUCAACUCCUAGCCUGGGA